rnacentral:misc_RNA from 1 species
UGAGCUUGAAUCAAUAGUUAAUGCCUGCAAAAACCUCAUUUGUUAAAUCUAACACGAUGCACAUUUAGUACUUCUAGUCCUAGAAAUUUUGCAUUUUUGUUUUCAGAGAAUGGGUCAUAUAAUUUAAGGGAAACAAUUCUUACUGUUGGUGCUUCUCUGCAAGGCUGUAAAGAAAAGAAGAAAGAAAAACAUGCAUUAAAGUUUAUUUGUUGAUUUGAAGUACUCAAGCACAGAUAAAGCAAUGGAGUAAUUUAGAUAAAUUACAUUUGACUUGUUCUUUUUACAAG